UACGGGGGGGCAAGCGUUGUUCGGAAUUACUGGGCGUAAAGGGCUCGUAGGUGGCCAACUAAGUCAGACGUGAAAUCCCUCGGCUUAACCGGGGAACUGCGUCUGAUACUGGAUGGCUUGAAUCCGGGAGAGGGAUGCGGAAUUCCAGGUGUAGCGGUGAAAUGCGUAGAUAUCUGGAGGAACACCGGUGGCGAAGGCGGCAUCCUGGACCGGCAUUGACGCUGAGGAGCGAAAGCCAGGGAGCAA
rnacentral:rRNA from 1 species